rnacentral:lncRNA from 10 species
CAUGUUACUGACAGGUAAAUUGAACUGCUGGUUAUUCCCUCAUUCAAUAGCCUUAUGCUUGUGACUUUGUGACUCAGAGCUAGUGAUAUCUGAUCUCAUUCCUAGUCACAGAUUGAAGGAGCUUGGGGAGAUUUGGAUUUCUUCUAUAUACUCAUAUAAACACAAAUAAACUCACACGCUUGCAUGUAUAUCCUAUCCAAGAUAUGUGCUAUGAAUGUAAAUGUUCACACAUACAAAAGCUGUGCUUGUAUAU